rfam:Schistosoma mansoni, Puerto Rico, WGS project CABG01000000 data, contig: 0115
AUCCAGCUGACGAGCCCAAAAUAGGACGAAACGCGUUUUCUGGAC